rnacentral:rRNA from 1 species
UACGGGGGGGAGCAAGCGUUGUUCGGAUUUACUGGGCGUAAAGGGCGCGUAGGCGGCCAGCACAAGUCAGUUGUGAAAUCUCCGAGCUUAACUCGGAAAGGUCAACUGAUACUGUGCGGCUAGAGUGCGGAAGGGGCAACUGGAAUUCUUGGUGUAGCGGUGAAAUGCGUAGAUAUCAAGAGGAACACCUGCGGCGAAGGCGGGUUGCUGGGCCGACACUGACGCUGAGGCGCGAAAGCCAGGGGGAGCGAACGGG